UACGUAGGUGGCAAGCGUUGUCCGGAUUUACUGGGUGUAAAGGGCGUGUAGCCGGGUUGACAAGUCAGAUGUGAAAUCCUGCGGCUUAACCGCAGAACUGCAUUUGAAACUGUUGAUCUUGAGUACUGGAGAGGCAGACGGAAUUCCUAGUGUAGCGGUGAAAUGCGUAGAUAUUGGGAGGAACAUCAGUGGCGAAGGCGGCCAACGUGGGCUUUUACUGACGACUGAGGCUCGG
rnacentral:rRNA from 1 species